rnacentral:lncRNA from 10 species
AUAGAAAUGGAAAUCAUUCUCUUCAACUUUAGCCAGCAAGAGAGAAUUCUUACCAAGGAUGUAUGAAUUUAUGCAUACUUACAAUCUUCUGAGGAAGAUCUACAAUGCCAGUUUUCAAUUAAAGUACAGGAAAUGCCCUGUGUAACCCAUGUUCUGUCAGAAAAGUGACAUGGGAAAUGAAUAUCAACAUUUUAUGAGGCUGCUACAUCACCUCAUAUUGAAAAGAGAUAGAGCUGUACCAUGUUGCCCAGGCUGAUCUCAAACUCAUGGGCUCAAGUGAUCCACCAGCCUUGUGGGCUCAACUGAUCCACCAGCCUUCGCCUCCAAAGUGUUGAGAUUACAGGCGUGAGCCACCACACCCAGCCUGAAAUGUUUUCAUCUUUAUCUAUGCCUUGAUCUCCACAACUCCUCUCCUGCAAUGCAUAUUUAAAGUACUUGCUACUUCAAGAGGAAGUAUGCAACCCACAUUCCUUGCUAAAAGGAAAAAGAAGAUAAGGAAAACUAGACACUGACAGGAUUGUAUGAGUCUUUAUAAACCUCAUAAGAAGCACAGAUAAGAAGUCUGCCCAUAGAUCGUCUUACCAUUUCAA